UGAAAUUCCUCACUGCUGAGGGUCGUGACCAUUU
rnacentral:sRNA from 1 species